CUCUGAGUGAUUACUGAUGACUGGCAUGAAAGGUUGGCAGCUAUGCUGGUUAUGUAGGUGUAGGUGCUUCUCUUAAAGGACUAACUAUAUAAUUUUAUUAUUUAUAUACACUUGGGGAUGGUUGAAAAAGUUUUGUAGUUUUAUGUUGUUGGAAAGCUUUGUAGUUUUAUGUUUGAUACUAGCUGCCCGACCCGGCUUCGCACGGCUAUACUAAUGGAAAAAAAUUAAGCCACAUCUCCCAUUUACAGUAAUGGUAAAUUAAAAAAAAUUCAGUGAAAAUGUAUUACAAUGCUGUAUAAUGUACCGGAGAGAAAAUGAAUAGCACCGAUGGUUUCCCGACUCGUGCACGCAUCGUACAACUGAUGUACCCGUACUUCGCUACGGCAGUCUACAGGCAGAUCACUUUUGCGCCACUCAUUAUACAUGCCCCUCCUUGUGGGUACGCCACUGCCGCACGAUGCCCGUUGCCAUGAAGACGCAGAAGGCAUGAACAAUGCAAAAUCCUGUUCUCAUGCAGACAAAGUACCCACUGUUGCCUGGUUUUAACCACCCAUGGGAUCUAAUUUUCGGAAAAUGUCAUCCUGCGUAACAUAAAGAACAUUACUGUGAAGUUUCAAGUCUGUAAAAUAUAUAUACUUGAAAAAAAGGGCAACUAAAAACAAAUUUAACACAGAGAGAGGGAAAAAAAACAAUAGUUUAGGUUUGCGAUUUAAAGUGAUAAAAAGUAUUUAAAUACUAAUUGAACUCUUAUGAGGGUACAGAUUGCUUCGUUGUUAAUAUCACACAGGUGUUUUUUACUUGUAUGGGAAAAUUAAGAAUGAUAAGGCAUCUAGUGCGUGGCAACAAUGUUAAUAGGCAAUAGCGCCUGCGGCAUUAACACACACUUUGUACGUGUACUGCAUGUUGUAUCUAACCCCCUCAAACGUAUUUGAUUCUAAAUUGUACUUUUAGUAAGGAUCCCUAAUGUUAUUGAUAAUAUAAUAUAGCCUAUAGCCUUCCUCGAUAAAUGUAGUAUCCAACACUGAAAUAAUUUUUCAAAUCGGACCUGUGGUUCCUGAGAUUAGCGCGUUCAAACAAACAAACAAACUCUUCAGCUUUAUAAUAUUAGUAUAGAUAACAUUUAAGGAAUUUUUCAAAGGAAGUUUCAACAAUAAAUUCACAUAACACAGGUAGAAUUAUGAAGUAAAUUGAUGUAUAUUUGUGUGACAUUACUAAUUUUUUAGUUAAACACUGUUUUUCCUUUUAAAUCUAUUUGUUAAAAAAAUUACAAUGUACGUUACCUGAUAUCCUAGCUGUUAUUAAUAUAGCAGAACUAAUCCAACCAAACUUAAUAAGUUAUAAUUUUUUUAUCCAGAAGCUGCUACUGAACAGUAUUACCAGGUUGGAACUAGGUAGAUCCCUUGUGAGGCCGUGGGUUUCGUCUGGGUGAUAAAGUUUUCCCUAUUCAGUUUUUGCUCCAUUCUUAUGUCAGUGGCCCUGAUUAUCUCUUGACGACUUUGAUGUCGGAGCGUUAAGUCCCAGAACUUUUUUCUGGAUGAUUUCAUAAAGAGUAGUAAUCAUUAUGGUUUGAGGCUAUAAAAAUUAUAAAAAUAAAUGUUUAUGCUAAAAGUAGGGCAGUUUGUGUAUGGCUGCUUGUGCUCUUCAGUAUAGGUACAGAAUCAAAAAUCAAUACAUUUGUUUUAGGCAGAUCUUUUACUUUGGAACCUCAAACCAUUCUGCCUGUGGCGUCUGUUGUCAUGGACAUAGACAAACCUUCAGAAGCAGCACCAGCCGAACAAAGCACUUUAUUGACUCCUACAAAGCAGGAAGCAAAAUUUUGGGUGUAGAGCCUGUGACGUCUAUGAAGCAAAGUAAAUUCAAGGUGAAGAAUAUUGCCUGCUGUGAAUGUAACACGAUUGCAUGAACUUACUCCAAAGGCAUCUGUAUUAUACAAGAAAGUGGCAAGGCUCCAGAAAAAGACGGCACGUCAAUGUGAGGCAGUGAAAAGCCUCAAAUCAAGAGUAGAUCUUGCAAAACAGUUUGGAAAAGCAAAUCAUACAACCAUUUAUUGAAACAUGUGACUGAGAUCACAUCUGACUUUAUACAGUGCCAAAUGAGGACUCAAAAAUUAUGACCACAGGGAAGAAGAUUCACAGUGAAAGAAAAAGUGGCUGCAUUGGCCCUAUAUAAACAGACUGGUAAAGGGUACAGUUUGUUGUCCAACUGGUUUGCUCUGCCAUCAAGGAAAACUUUAUCUACUCUUGUGGCAAAACUUAUUUCAAUCCUGGCAUAAAUUUUCACAUAAUACAUCAUCUUCAAGAAUGUGUUAAGAAUAUAACGGUUCGUUACAUACAAAAAUAAACAGAUGUUCAACGCCGAUUGCAAAUUUUGUUGUUUUAUUUUUCAAACUAGAAUGCAUAGACAAAUCCAAUCAUUUUCACAGUUUUUCUCACUCGUUCAACACGUACAUCUGCCCGUCGAAAAAUGCUCACAGUUUGCGCGAUGUGAAUUAACGAAAAAUAACGUCCUUCAGUAAUCUUUUACUGCAAGUACACAAAAUUAGUGCGGCCUUAAACAUGACGGCACCCAGCGAAAACGAAUUUCGCCCCGAGCCAAAUGACGACGAAGGUGGCCGCAAUUUCUAAUUUGUUACUGUCCGAAUGAAAAUUAAAAAAAACUUAGGUUAACUUAAUACUCGGCAUGGCUCUGACCACCAACGUUAAAUUAUCUCUUCAAUAACUUCUACAUAAUUUGCGAGAAGCCACCGAACGCGACCUACUUGUGCAGCGUUCGACGAACGACUGGUGAACUCUUGCCACACUCUCCUCCACGCAGGGAGGAGAAGUCACAUGACCUCAUCGACCAAUCACACGCACGCUUCAUUCACUCUACAAAUCACAAGCCAAUCACAGAACAAAUUACAAUACAUGAAAAACCCUGUAAACACAUAACUCAGGGCUUCCCUUGAUCUGUCUCUUUUCAAUUUAACAUCAAAAUCGGGGACUCCCAUUCUCGUUCUCUCUCCCACACCGUGAGACAGCAGUUAUCACUCAGUUCCCACGCAGUGGGGGAAUUCCCGUCUUUAUCUCGGUUGGCGGGGAAGCACUGUUUCCUUCUCACUCACACUUACAGGCCUCUCAUGCCUCUCUUUCUAACCGUCACACCAGACACAGUCCCUUGGUCUAGAAUUCAUUCCACACGUUAAUGAACAUUACAAACAGCAAUUAUAAUACAAAUUACUUUACAAAAUUAAACUUAUUUAGAAAAAACCUGAAAAAGUAGGCCUAAACAGGCAAAAUUCUAGUACAGCGACUUAUUUGUGAAUAAUUACAUAAAAAAUAGUAAUGAUUGAAAACGUCUGUUAAAAUACAAGGAACAUUCUUAACACACAUAGCAAGUGAAAUAUCAACCCUUAAAUACAUAAAAACAGUAAAAUAUCAUUAGAAAGACUUUUUAAGAAAUAUUUACAUGCAUAAAAAUAGUUUAAAAGAAAAUUAUUUAGCUAGGAGGGCAGGGUCUUGCAACGUUACAAGAAUAUACCUCCACAUGACAGGAUCUGCAAUCUCCUAUUUUUCUGAGGAUUCAUAUUAUUUACAGGAUACUGUAAUGCUGAAUAUGCUUUUAUAAAUUUGCCAAAAUAUGAACAUACAGUACUUAUUUUAUUGAUAUGAUUGCUGUGUUCCACAGUGUGACAAAUUGCGAGUUCUUUCACCAGUUCAAGGAAAACAUUAUAGAUAUAUUUGACCAGUAUUUAUCAUAGGUACCUAUUUGAAAUGUCAAUUGGCUGGUUUCUAUAGUGUUAAGGGUGGCUUAAAUAUUUGACAGUGAGAAGAACCCUAAAAAUUUUGAAAGCCAUGAUUUUUUUAUGAGUACUAUACCUACGUUGCUUUUAAAUUGUGCAAUAAAAAGAAUUUUUGAAUCACUAAUUCUUAUACUGUGUAAAAUUGUUUUAAUUAAUAAUGUUACUUUGUUUGUGUUCUUACAGUGUAUAACAACCCAAGAUAAAACCUUUCCCCUUUAAUAAACAGUUGAAGUAAUAAUUUAUUAUUUUGUAAGUUUGUAAAGGUUAUCGGUUAGGUUGUUGUAGCAUUUUGUAAAUAAGUUGUAUAUUAUUUUAUGUGAUACAGGUUAUAUGAACAUAAACAACAUUUACUUAAUACUUCUUAGCUACCGUUGCUUGGUUGAUACUGUAAAAGCUCCUUUUAUUAAGUUUUACCUGAAGAAGUAUGUAUGUACGUGGUAAAAACAUGUUAGUUGCUAUUUUUAAUUAUUUUUUGUAAUUCAAGUUUUCAGGCUUACAUUAUUUAAAAUUCUUCUACUGGAAAUGUACGUUUCACCUUAUAAGCAGUCAGUUUUGACUACUAAGUUGGCUUGGUUUUUUUUUAAUAGCACAUAAUUUAUUAUAAUGUAUUAGAGGAUUAUAUGUGCAAGCCUCAGCCAUGUAUGGAUUAUGUGAAAAGAGAAUUAAAAGCACACACCUAUCUUGUCCAACGAUUUGCCGGGUUUGCUCUACCAAUGUAAUUACAAAAAUAAUUUUAUUAUCAGCUUAAUUAAAUUUUGUCACAUCUUGUGUAUUAUGUAUAUGUAAUUUAUUAUUUUAAAAAAGAAUGUUGUAAGUUUACAAUUAUAAUUCAACAUAGUUGUUCAGUUAAAGAAUUGUGAAUAAACCUGCUGUUCAUGUCCAAAUCUUCUUGUACAGUAGUGGGGAUUGCAAUACUUAUGCUCCAUGUUGUUUUUGCUGACAUAUGUGGCUAAUAGUAAGUGCAAUUCAAUAUCAAUAAAGAGGGG